rnacentral:rRNA from 1 species
GACGAACGCUGGCGGCGUGCUUAACACAUGCAAGUCGAACGGAAAGGCCCUGCUUUUGUGGGGUGCUCGAGUGGCGAACGGGUGAGUAACACGUGAGUAACCUGCCCUUGACUUUGGGAUAACUUCAGGAAACUGGGGCUAAUACCGGAUAGGAGCUCCUGCUGCAUGGUGGGGGUUGGAAAGUUUCGGCGGUUGGGGAUGGACUCGCGGCUUAUCAGCUUGCUGGUGGGGUAGUGGCUUACCAAGGCUUUGACGGGUAGCCGGCCUGAGAGGGCGACCGGCCACAUUGGGACUGAGAUACGGCCCAGACUCCUACGGGAGGCAGCAGUGGGGAAUAUUGCACAAUGGGCGGAAGCCUGAUGCAGCAACGCCGCGUGCGGGAUGACGGCCUUCGGGUUGUAAACCGCUUUCGCCUGUGACGAAGCGUGAGUGACGGUAAUGGGUAAAGAAGCACCGGCUAACUACGUG